rnacentral:rRNA from 1 species
GUCCACGCCCUAAACGAUGUCUACUAGUUGUCGGGUCUUAAUUGACUUGGUAACGCAGCUAACGCGUGAAGUAGACCGCCUGGGGAGUACGGUCGCAAGAUUAAAACUCAAAGGAAUUGACGGGGACCCCGCACAAGCGGUGGAUGAUGUGGAUUAAUUCGAUGCAACGCGAAAACCUUACCUACCCUUGACAUGUACGGAGUGCUAAAGAGAUUUGGCAGUGCUCGAAAGAGAACCGUAACACAGGUGCUGCAUGGCUGUCGU